AAAUCCGGUUCACUUUAACACUGAGGCGUGACGACGAGGCACUACGGUGCUGAAGCAACAAAUGCCCUGCUUCCAGGAAAAGCCUCUAAGCAUCAGGUAACAUCAAAUCGUACCCCAAACCGACACAGGUGGUCAGGUAGAGAAUACCAAGGCGCUUGAGAGAACUCGGGUGAAGGAACUAGGCAAAAUGGUGCCGUAACUUCGGGAGAAGGCACGCUGACACGUAGGUGAAGUGAUUUACUCAUGGAGCUGAAGUCAGUCGAAGAUACCAGCUGGCUGCAACUGUUUAUUAAAAACACAGCACUGUGCAAACACGAAAGUGGACGUAUACGGUGUGACGCCUGCCCGGUGCCGGAAGGUUAAUUGAUGGGGUCAGCGCAAGCGAAGCUCCUGAUCGAAGCCCCGGUAAACGGCGGCCGUAACUAUAACGGUCCUAAGGUAGCGAAAUUCCUUGUCGGGUAAGUUCCGACCUGCACGAAUGGCGUAAUGAUGGCCAGGCUGUCUCCACCCGAGACUCAGUGAAAUUGAACUCGCUGUGAAGAUGCAGUGUACCCGCGGCAAGACGGAAAGACCCCGUGAACCUUUACUAUAGCUUGACACUGAACAUUGAGCCUUGAUGUGUAGGAUAGGUGGGAGGCUUUGAAGUGUGGACGCCAGUCUGCAUGGAGCCGACCUUGAAAUACCACCCUUUAAUGUUUGAUGUUCUAACGUGGACCCGUUACCCGGGUUGCGGACAGUGUCUGGUGGGUAGUUUGACUGGGGCGGUCUCCUCCUAAAGAGUAACGGAGGAGCACGAAGGUUGGCUAAUCCUGGUCGGACAUCAGGAGGUUAGUGCAAUGGCAUAAGCCAGCUUGACUGCGAGCGUGACGGCGCGAGCAGGUGCGAAAGCAGGUCAUAGUGAUCCGGUGGUUCUGAAUGGAAGGGCCAUCGCUCAACGGAUAAAAGGUACUCCGGGGAUAACAGGCUGAUACCGCCCAAGAGUUCAUAUCGACGGCGGUGUUUGGCACCUCGAUGUCGGCUCAUCACAUCCUGGGGCUGAAGUAGGUCCCAAGGGUAUGGCUGUUCGCCAUUUAAAGUGGUACGCGAGCUGGGUUUAGAACGUCGUGAGACAGUUCGGUCCCUAUCUGCCGUGGGCGCUGGAGAACUGAGGGGGGCUGCUCCUAGUACGAGAGGACCGGAGUGGACGCAUCACUGGUGUUCGGGUUGUCAUGCCAAUGGCACUGCCCGGUAGCUAAAUGCGGAAGAGAUAAGUGCUGAAAGCAUCUAAGCACGAAACUUGCCCCGAGAUGAGUUCUCCCUGAGACUUAAAGUCUCCUGAAGGAACGUUGA
rnacentral:rRNA from 1 species